rnacentral:rRNA from 1 species
CCUACGGGUGGCAGCAGUGGGGGAUAUUGCACAAUGGGGGGAACCCUGAUGCAGCGACGCCGCGUGGGUGAAGAAGCGCCUCGGCGCGUAAAGCCCUGUCAGCAGGGAAGAAAAUGACGGUACCUGAAGAAGAAGCCCCGGCUAACUACGUGCCAGCAGCCGCGGUAAUACGUAGGGGGCCAGCGUUAUCCGGAUUUACUGGGUGUAAAGGGGGCGCAGGCGGCGAUGCAAGCCAGGAGUGAAAGCCCGGGGGCCAACCCCGGGACUGCUCUUGGAACUGCGUGGCUGGAGUGCAGGAGGGGCAGGCGGAAUUCCUGGUGUAGCGGUGAAAUGCGUAGAUAUCAGGAGGAACACCGGUGGCGAAGGCGGCCUGCUGGACUGCAACUGACGUUGAGGCCCGAAAGCGUGGGGAGCAAACAGGAUUAGAUACCCUAGUAGUC